AUUGAACGCUGGCGGAAUGCUUUACACAUGCAAGUCGAACGGCAGCACGGACUUCGGUCUGGUGGCGAGUGGCGAACGGGUGAGUAAUACAUCGGAACGUGCCCAGUCGUGGGGGAUAACGUAGCGAAAGCUACGCUAAUACCGCAUACGAUCUAAGGAUGAAAGCGGGGGAUCGCAAGACCUCGCGCGAUUGGAGCGGCCGAUGGCAGAUUAGGUAGUUGGUGGGGUAAAGGCUCACCAAGCCGACGAUCUGUAGCUGGUCUGAGAGGACGACCAGCCACACGGGGACUGAGACACGGCCCAGACUCCUACGGGAGGCAGCAGUGGGGAAUUUUGGACAGUGGGCGCAAGCCUGAUCCAGCCAUUCCGCGUGCAGGAUGAAGGCCCUCGGGUUGUAAACUGCUUUUGUACGGAACGAAAAGGCUCUGGUUAAUACCCGGGGCUCAUGACGGUACCGUAAGAAUAAGCACCGGCUAACUACGUGCCAGCCGCCGCGGUAA
rnacentral:rRNA from 1 species